AGGGACUAUAGGGUGGGAUUAAGACCACCUAAGAUCCCCAGAGCCCUCCAACCCAUUUCCAGAAAAGUCUGAAAGAACUGACUGCACAUGAGAAUUAAUUUACAUGGCAAGCAAGAAACCCAUCUUCGGGGUGGAGAAACCUGCCUAUCCAGAAACCUGCUGUCCAAGCAGCAUCGUCAGAAUCCUGGACAUCUCAUCAGACCAACACAGCUGCAUUGAAUCUGAAACCAGGAUCAACAUCCUACCAGCUGGAUCAGCGCUGGAACCAGGGCUGAACUGGUAACUCAAAUUCAGAGAGCAUCCUGCUUGUGGAAGACAACUUUAAUUGCAGGAGACCACCAUGAGCUCCAGAAAAGGCUAACAACCUCUUCCUCUUGGCAUGAACCUCUUGUUGGUAAAGAAGCUGCCACAUGACAACUUGAGACAGCUGAAGCAAGCACAGGACAAGGGAAAAAAGACCAAUUCUGUUCAUCACAAUGUGAAAAGUGGCCACUGAGAGAUGGAACAAAUAAAGGGAGACGUGGAACACCA